GUCACAAUGGCCGAGUGGUUAAGGCGUUGGACUCGAAAUCCAAUGGGAACUCCUUGCACAGGUUUGAAUCCUGUUUGUGACG